UCCAGAUGAGCUUUCUUUGUUGCCAAGAUCCCAGAGAAGAGAUGCCCAUGCCCUACGCUAAGGGAACAUGCAAGCUUCUCAUGGCAAAUGCACUUGGACACACAAACUUCUCGCCCAGUUAAUGAAGCAGGAGCUGCAUGUGACAAGAGAUGGUGACUGAGGAGGAGGUUAAUGAUCCAGCUGCUGUGAUAGCCUCUCAAAGUUGAAGACAUCCCAGAUGGGCCAGAGUUGUCAUCUUGUAUCCUCGCAUAAAGAUCAGGUGAUAAACCCUCUGAUGUAGUGUCUUCCUUACUGCAGAUAAGGUAUCACAGCUUCUUGUGCUGUGAACAUGUUUGACAAGCUGCCCCAGGAUACCUGCUGUGGUUGCUGACCUGCCUUCGUAUUGUUCAAACUGAAUCAGAACCUGUUGGUGAGUCUGACAUACCCAGAAAGUACAAAGCUAUUUUCCUGUCAACAAAAUCUUCAGCCCUUUCCUAACACAACUGAGCAACUAUGUGAGUUUUUUUUUCUAGUUCCCAGGUCAAUCUUCUGUGUCUAAAAGACAUCUUUCUUGCUGAGAAUGAUCAGCACAGUGAAGAUAAGGACCAGAUCCUGAACUAUCAUGGUUGCUUUCUGAUAGGCAGAACUUAAGUUUUUUAGCAUACUGUUUGGUGGUUCUCAUGAGGAAUGAGGGCAUCUCCAUGGUUUCCUGAGAACAGAAUGCUCUGGGAAAAUGUUGGGAUUGUUUCAGAGGGGAAGAGACUAGCACUUGGCAAUAUAUGUUUCUCCACUCUCAAGGAGUGCUCUGCUACAGAAAUUUCCUCCCAGCAAUCCCACAGUAAGUCUGAGGUGGAGCUAGCUCCACUGCCUCUGACUGUAUCUGAUGGGCAGCGGGAAAGUGAGGAAGAAAGAGCAAAGCAAAAUGCCUAAUUGACAAGGCAGAAGUACUUUUGUGGACUGGUGUUCAGGGAAAGGAUGCCUGCUUUGUUGUUUCACCUGUGUUGGACUUCAGAAAUGUCUGCCUGUAGUGUUCAUAGCAUAUUGUUAAAUGGAAAAUAAAUUUCAGAGAACAGUUUCUCUAAAUCUCCAAGUGUACAAACAUAGCUUCUGUAUUGCAAUCUCUAUGAUCUCAGAAAAUGUUUAUAUUUAAUUGAAUUAUUUUAAGUCUUAAUCUUUCUGUUGCAUUUUGCAAGAGGGAAAGUUCAGCAACAUUUUGCAGAAUCAUGCAAGGAAAUACUGGGAUUCAAGAUAACUUUCUCUUUCUUAGAUGCUCUGGGUUUUGGUGUUUUCUUUUCUUGGCAAGGUAUCUACAUUUUGUUGGACAAGCUCAUUUAAUAUAUAUAUAGCCCCAGAAAUUUACUAUUUUUUAAGCAAUCAGGAUACCACAAAGCUUUCAACUGGAAGGUCUUCAUACCAGGAUUAAUAAGUCAUGCUCUAUCUUAGUUCUGACAGUGAGCAGUGAUGAAUCAAAUUACACUGCAAAGAACUGCUUUUAGACCAGUGUAGCCAGUGUCUAAUGUUCACUUGCAAGGGUGCUAAGUUCUAUGUCUUAUAUAGCAUUCAGAGCUGAGCUAUGAAUCCAAAUGCUGUUAUUACUAGUUUAGUUCUGUGUUGGAUGUCUCGCUUCUUUGGGUAGUGCUAACACAAUCCCUUUUUCUUGCACUUCUU